UAAUACGAAGGGGGCUAGCGUUACUCGGAAUUACUGGGCGUAAAGGGCGCGUAGGCGGCGCUCCAAGUUAGGCGUGAAAGCCCUGGGCUCAACCUGGGGACUGCGCUUAAGACUGGAGUGCUAGAGGAUGGAAGAGGGUUGUGGAAUUCCCAGUGUAGAGGUGAAAUUCGUAGAUAUUGGGAAGAACACCGGUGGCGAAGGCGGCAACCUGGUCCAUUUCUGACGCUGAGGCGCGAUAGCGUGGGGAGCAAACAGGAUUAGAUACCCUGGUAGUCCACGCCGUAAACGAUGUGCGCUGAAUGUUGGGGUUCCUAGAACCUCAGUGUUGUAGCUAACGCGGUAAGCGCACCGCCUGGGGAGUACGGCCGCAAGGUUGAA
rnacentral:rRNA from 1 species